ACAUCCAGAGAACUUAGCAGAGAUGCUUUGGUGCCUUCGGGAACUCUGAGACAGGUGCUGCAUGGCUGUCGUCAGCUCGUGUUGUGAAAUGUUGGGGUUAAGUCCCGNAACGAGCGCAACCCUUAUCCUUUGUUGCCAGCGGUUCGGCCGGGAACUCAAAGGAGACUGCCGGUGAUAAACCGGAGGAAGGUGGGGAUGACGUCAAGUCAUCAUGGCCCUUACGGCCAGGGCUACACACGUGCUACAAUGGCGCAUACAAAGAGAAGCGACCUCGCGAGAGCAAGCGGACCUCAUAAAGUGCGUCGUAGUCCGGAUUGGAGUCUGCAACUCGACUCCAUGAAGUCGGAAUCGCUAGUAAUCGUAGAUCAGAAUGCUACGGUGAAUACGUUCCCGGGCCUUGUACACACCGCCCGUCACACCAUGGGAGUGGGUUGCAAAAGAAGUAGGUAGCUUAACCUUCGGGAGGGCGCUUACCACUUUGUGAUUCAUGACUGGGGUGAAGUCGUAACAAGGUAGGCGUAGCGAG
rnacentral:rRNA from 1 species